CUGCAUUCUUAACCCUCCCGGCAGCUCUGUUAUCAGCUUCCAGGGUAAGAGUAAAUGUAAGAGAAAACUGUUGAUUAAUCCAGAAUGUAGAGCUCCCCUCCCGUGACUCUUCAUUAUUUCACAUCUUCAACAGUU
ensembl:snoRNA small nucleolar RNA SNORA14